GGCCUUGUGCUAUAUUUUAAGUAUGAAAUGUUUGAAUGGGCUUUGGACCACGUUUAUGAAUAAAAUGUUUAAGUUAUGAUCCAAGUGAUACCAGAGACUACCUAUAUAGGAGUUGGAUAAUCUGGUUGGGUUCCCGGAGGGAAUUCCACAUGACGACAAGAUGAGUCAAGGAGUCGUGUCCUAGCCCUUGAUAAGGAAUUUGACUGACUAGGUAGACCUCUUGAGCUUAACUCACCUCAGGUUGUCUACAUAAAAAUGAACCUAGAUAAUUAUUGUGUGAUACAUAUUAUUAUAUGCUAUGUAAUGAUAAAUGAAUAUGAUAAUGCUUAUAAGAUGAUCAAUUGACAACCAGGUUUCCCAUAUGACUACUGACACCCUAGGUGUAGUAGGAACUCACUGAGGCUUAGAGUCUCAACCCACUCCCUUUUAUUUUUUUCAGAUAAACAGGAUUAUCAAUACAGGGGUAAGAAGGAAGCUGAUGAUCGAGGCUUAGCUUGGAUUAUCUUGAGAUAUUAACAUUAGUUUUUUUCCUUGUUUUGUAUUACUCUGUUUAGAUUCCUUUCCGCUGUGACGUAUCAGUUUACUACGUUGUACUUAUACGUUGUAAAUGAAACAUGUUAUUAUGUAAUUUUAAUGUAUCUAGAUUUC
rnacentral:lncRNA from 1 species